GAAUGAAUAAGGUAUUUUGGUAGCAUUAUCAGAGAAGAAUUAGACUGUUCCUGACCAAAAAUCCAUGACAAAGGGGAAAACCUUUAACAUUGCAUUUAAAUAGUUUUAAGACAAAAUAGGUCUUCUUUCAAAGGCAUUUCCAGGAAUAUAAUUUAUCAGCAAUAAUGAGUAAAUAUUUUAAGGAUAUAUAGCGAGUUUGGC
rnacentral:misc_RNA from 1 species